rnacentral:rRNA from 1 species
GUUGACCUGCUUGCAA